UACGUAGGGUGCGAGCGUUGUCCGGAUUUACUGGGCGUAAAGAGCGCGCAGGCGGUCGUUCAAGUCGAGUGUGAAAGCCCCCGGCUCAACUGGGGAGGGUCAUUCGAUACUGAUCGACUCGAAGGCAGGAGAGGGAAGUGGAAUUCCCGGUGUAGUGGUGAAAUGCGUAGAUAUCGGGAGGAACACCAGUGGCGAAGGCGACUUCCUGGCCUGUUCUUGACGCUGAGGCGCGAAAGCUGGGGGAGCAAACGGGG
rnacentral:rRNA from 1 species